rnacentral:rRNA from 1 species
UACAGAGGGUGCAAGCGUUAAUCGGAAUUACUGGGCGUAAAGAGCACGUAGGUGGUUUGGUAAGCCAGAUGUGAAAUCCCCGGGCUUAACCUGGGAACUGCAUUUGGGACUGUAAGGCUAGAGUGUGUCAGAGGGAGGUGGAAUUCCACGUGUAGCAGUGAAAUGCGUAGAUAUGUGGAGGAGCAUCGAUGGCGAAGGCAGCCUCCUGGGAUAACACUCACGCUCAUGCACGAAAGCGUGGGGAGCAAACAGG